ACUUAACAGUUGAGUGACAAAAAAAUAAUAAUUUCAAAAAAAAUUAGUGGUGAAAUUGUAACUUUUUUUAAUUGAGUGAUUAAAACAAAAAAUAGCAAUAGUUUAGUGACUAAUAAUGUAACUUUUUUUGGUACAAUGAUAAUUCGAAAUUUGGCUAUUCUUAAAAAGGGUGAACAUCGGAUCAUAUUUAUUCACAUAUUACAAACAUCCAUAAGUAAGCAAUUCUCCCGAAUUAAAAUCAAAUUUUAAUAUUAACAACUUCAACAACUCAUAAAUAGGAAGAUAAUAUGUUUCGGUACACUUGAAACCACAUCCUUCUACAUUAACAACAAUUACUAUGACAAUGAAACUAAGACUCAAUUCACAAUGAAUAUAUAUUUUUGUUAUACCUAAUUAAAGUCAUUUACCAGUAUAUUAAACAUUCUUAUACCCUAGUUUCCCAUACUUUCCCAUUAUUGUCGUGAUGAUGAUGAUGAUGUUACAAUUGAGCACCAAGAUCACUGUAAUACUUGUUUUAAUUGGUAUAAUAAUAAUUUUAAUCUUUUUUUUUAUAUUUUAUAAUUAUAAUUUUAUACGAUACCGUAAAUUAAAUUGAUAAUAAAAAUAAUUAUAAUGCUAUCUGUAAUGGAAGACAGCAAAGAAAAAGGCUAAAAGAAAACGUAAUAAAAAUAGGAUUCCUUGCUAAUAAUUCUGCCUCUGUGGAUCCUACCAGAGACUUCAUAAAUUCCCUGUUUUUAUCUUCACUUUCUUCUUACUUCUUCUUCACUGCUUUUAAUUUGUUUCGAUGUCCAAGGUCUAUCACAAAUUUUCAAGCAUCCAGUCAACGUAAUUUUCUUUCAUUUGCUUAAUUCAUCACUUGCUUUUCUUUGCUUUUGAUUAUCUGCUACUGUUAUAGCAGCUAGCUUUGUAAGAUUGUCAAGGAACUCAACUUCACUGCUUCCUUUUCAGUUCUAAUCUCUCUACACUUUUCAGCCACUAAGUCAGGUAAUAAGAUCUGAAGCAAUGAUUUCCUCUACUAAUUAUCAACAAUUUUAGAUUUUAACAGUGGAUGACCAGCAGACAUAAUCUACUAUAGAUAGAAAUUAAUACAAAACAGCUACCCAGAAGCAAUAUAAUGUUGAAAUCUCAAACUGUCAACAUUUUAACUCUUAAUAUUCUGUAAUGAACUCUUGCACACUUGAAUCUAGCAUUUUAUAUACAUCGAGAGCUUGAUUCUGGUGAUCAGAAUUUCAUCAUGUUUUUGUCUGCCACCCAUCCAUAGCUCCAUCUAAUGGACGCCAUUGCUUGAAACUUGCAUUCAUGUUUUCCUUUUCAUGCUUACACUGACAUAUCAAUACUUCAUACAAUAUCCAAUUCAUUCACAGAUUUUCAUUCUCUGCUACUGUUUUAUGAAGAGAAAGAUAAAAGUGGGGGUGGGAAAGAAGGAGGGGGGAGGAUAGUGCAAAAGAGAGGAGAAAAGGAAUGAUGGAAGGAAGAGGUUAAGAGCAUAAACUGCCCCCAGUUUUUAAACCCCUUUGGAAGGAUGAAAGGUAUGAACCAUUAUAGUUUAGAGAAAGAUGAAAGGGUUGGUGGGAAAGGAGGAGGGGGGAGGAUAGUGCAAAAGAGAGGAGAAAAGGAAUGAUGGAAGGAAGAGGUUAAGAGGCUCCACGUUGUAAACAUUAACCCUCUCUUACAAUUCCUUCUAUUCUCUUUUUAUAAUGUAAAAGCUGAAGAGGUAAAAAAAUAAAUAAAUUUGCUUCAUAUUUUUUCUAUGUUUGUUUUGAAAGAAUGAGUGUUGAAUAUAGAUAAUAUAGAGAAAUUUUGUAGGGUUUAAAAAUAAUUAUCCCUAAUUUUCUCACUUCUUUUUAUUUUUUUAAUUUUAUAAUGUUUUAAAAUUUUAAAAAUUUUCGACGGUGGCCA
rnacentral:lncRNA from 1 species